ACCAUGUAGGACAGCGGAUGC
rnacentral:siRNA from 1 species